rnacentral:rRNA from 1 species
UGAAUACGAGACGCUAAGGCGUUGAAGUAGUGUAUGUCAUACUUCCAAGAAAAGCUUGCACUGUCAUAAGUGAAAAAUGCCUGUACCAUAACCGACACAGGUGGGUAGGUAGAGUAUACUAAGGGGCGCGAGAUAACUCUCUCUAAGGAACUCGGCAAAAUAACUCCGUAACUUCGGGAGAAGGAGUGCCUUAUUUAUAAGGUUGCAAUAACAAGAUCCAAGCAACUGUUUAUCAAAAACACAGGUCUCCGCUAAGUCGCAAGACGAUGUAUGGGGGCUGACGCCUGCCCAGUGCCAGAAGGUUAAAGAAGUCGGUUAGCAUUAGCGAAGCUGGUGACUGAAGCCCUGGUGAACGGCGGCCGUAACAAUAACGGUCCUAAGGUAGCGAAAUUCCUUGUCGGGUAAGUUCCGACCCGCACGAAAGGCGUAAUGAUUUGGAUACUGUCUCGGAGAGGGGCUCGGUGAAAUAGACUUGUCUGUGAAGAUGCGGACUACCUGCACCAGGACAGAAAGACCCUAUGAAGCUUUACUGUAACCUGAAAUUGAAAUUGGACUUUAUUCGCGCAGUAUAGGUGGGAAGCGUUGAAAAUAUUCUUGCGGGAAUAUUGGAGCUAUCAGUGAGAUACCACUCUUGUAAUGUUAGAUUUCUAACUUUGAACCAUUAUCUGGUCAGAGAACAGUUUCAGGCGGGCAGUUUGACUGGGGCGGUCGCCUCCCAAACGGUAACGGAGGCGUACAAAGGUUUCCUCUGAACGUGUAGAAAUCGUAUCUAGAGUGUAAAGGCAUAAGGAAGCUUGACUGUGAGACCUACAAGUCGAGCAGGGACGAAAGUCGGUCUUAGUGAUCUGACGGUACUGAGUGGAAAGGCCGUCACUCAACGGAUAAAAGUUACUCUAAGGAUAACAGGCUGAUCUCCCCCAAGAGUUCACAUCGACGGGGAGGUUUGGCACCUCGAUGUCGGCUCAUCGCAUCCUGGGGCGGUAGUACGUCCCAAGGGUUGGGCUGUUCGCCCAUGAAAGCGGUACGCGAGCUGGGUUCAGAACGUCGUGAGACAGUUCGGUCCAUAUCCGGUGUAGGCGUUAGAAUAUUGAGAGGAGCCUUCUUUAGUACGAGAGGACCGAGAAGGACAUACCUAUGGUGUACCAGUUAUCGUGCCAACGGUAAACGCUGGGUAGCUAAGUAUGGAGUGGAUAACCGCUGAAAGCAUCUAAGUGGGAAGCCCACCUCAAGAUGAG